rnacentral:rRNA from 1 species
AUUGAACGCUGGCGGCAGGCUUAACACAUGCAAGUCGAGCGGAGAGAGGUAGCUUGCUACUGAUCUUAGCGGCGGACGGGUGAGUAAUGCUUAGGAAUCUGCCUAUUAGUGGGGGACAACAUUUCGAAAGGAAUGCUAAUACCGCAUACGUCCUACGGGAGAAAGCAGGGGAUCUUCGGACCUUGCGCUAAUAGAUGAGCCUAAGUCGGAUUAGCUAGUUGGUGGGGUAAAGGCCUACCAAGGCGACGAUCUGUAGCGGGUCUGAGAGGAUGAUCCGCCACACUGGGACUGAGACACGGCCCAGACUCCUACGGGAGGCAGCAGUGGGGAAUAUUGGACAAUGGGCGGAAGCCUGAUCCAGCCAUGCCGCGUGUGUGAAGAAGGCCUUAUGGUUGUAAAGCACUUUAAGCGAGGAGGAGGCUACUUUAGUUAAUACCUAGAGAUAGUGGACGUUACUCGCAGAAUAAGCACCGGCUAACUCUGUGCCGGCCGCCGCUGUAAUAC